rfam:Triticum aestivum genome assembly, contig: Triticum_aestivum_CS42_TGACv1_scaffold_322163_4BL
UCCACUACUCAGUUGGUAGAGUUCAAAGCUCUUAACCUUGUGGAUGUGGGUUCAAGCCCCAUGGUGGAG